rnacentral:rRNA from 1 species
UACCUGCAGGAAGAGAAAGAAAAAUCGAUUCCCUGAGUAGCGGCGAGCGAAACGGGAGGAGCCCAAACCAACGAGCUUGCUUGUUGGGGUUGUAGGACUAGAACGUGAGAAGACAUCAAGAUAGCAGAAGUGGUCUGGAAAGGCCCAUCACAGAAGGUGACAAUCCUGUACGCGACAUCUUGACGAACUCUACUAGCAUCCUGAGUACGGCGGGACACGAGGAAUCCCGUCGGAAUCCGCCAGGACCAUCUGGCAAGGCUAAAUACUACCUAGUGACCGAUAGUGAACCAGUACCGUGAGG